UCGGGAAUAUUGCGCAAUGGAGGAAACUCUGACGCAGUGACGCCGCGUAUAGGAAGAAGGUUUUCGGAUUGUAAACUAUUGUCGUUAGGGAAGAAAAAAGACAGUACCUAAGGAGGAAGCUCCGGCUAACUACGUGCCAGCAGCCGCGGUAAUACGUAGGGAGCAAGCGUUAUCCGGAUUUAUUGGGUGUAAAGGGUGCGUAGACGGGCGAUCAAGUUAGUUGUGAAAUCCCUCGGCUCAACUGAGGAACCGCAACUAAAACUGGUUGUCUUGAGUGCAGGAGAGGUAAGUGGAAUUCCUAGUGUAGCGGUGAAAUGCGUAGAUAUUAGGAGGAACACCAGUGGCGAAGGCGACUUACUGGACUGUAACUGACGUUGAGGCACGAAAGUGUGGGGAGCAAACAGGAUUAGAUACC
rnacentral:rRNA from 1 species